rnacentral:rRNA from 1 species
UACGUAGGGUCCAAGCGUUGUCCGGAUUUAUUGGGCGUAAAGAGCUCGUAGGCGGUUCCGUAAGUCGGAUGUGAAAACUCGGGGCUCAACCCCGAGACGCCAUCCGAUACUGCGGUGACUUGAGUCUGGUAGGGGAACACGGAAUUCCUGGUGUAGCGGUGAAAUGCGCAGAUAUCAGGAGGAACACCAAUGGCGAAGGCAGCUCGCUGGAACGGUACUGACGCUGAGGCGCGAAAGCGUGGGGAGCGAACAGG